GAGAAUCAAAUUCAAGGAAAUGAGGAGUCUCAUUAGAGUUAAGGACAUGGCACAAGAAGACUUCAAGCUUAAGAGGGAGAAUGUUGGAGUAAGCUUGAAGAUAACUGGUACGGGAAGCAACUAAACCGAGUUAUGGUUUAGAGAGGAUAAUAUCAAAGAGAGGAUAAUAUCAAAUAUAUUAGGAGUUAUCUAAUAUAUACAUAAUCCUAGUGAGAUUAGGAUUUGAGUUUCUUGUAUAAAUAGAUAGGUUGAGUCAUGACCUAUUUGUGUGAGAGUUGU
rnacentral:lncRNA from 1 species